rnacentral:rRNA from 1 species
AGUGAACGCUGGCGGUAGGCCUAACACAUGCAAGUCGAACGGCAGCACAGUAAGAGCUUGCUCUUACGGGUGGCGAGUGGCGGACGGGCGAGGAAUACAUCGGAAUCUACUUUUUCGUGGGGGAUAACGUAGGGAAACUUACGCUAAUACCGCAUACGACCUACGGGUGAAAGCAGGGGAUCUUCGGACCUUGCGCGAUUGAAUGAGCCGAUGUCGGAUUAGCUAGUUGGCGGGGUAAAGGCCCACCAAGGCGACGAUCCGUAGCUGGUCUGAGAGGAUGAUCAGCCACACUGGAACUGAGACACGGUCCAGACUCCUACGGGAGGCAGCAGUGGGGAAUAUUGGACAAUGGGCGCAAGCCUGAUCCAGCCAUAUCGCGUGGGUGAAGAAGGCCUUCGGGUUGUAAAGCCCUUUUGUUGGGAAAGAAAAGCAGCAGGUUAAUACCCCGCUGUUCUGACGGUACCCAAAGAAUAAGCACCGGCUAACUUCGUG